UUUUAUACCACUCAACUUGUCUGAAGCUAUCAUACUCAAUACACAAUUAAGUUAGAGUAUCUUAAUAAAUUGCAUUUAUUAGUCCUUUGUAAUCAUGCUGUUAUUUGUACUUUAUAGCUAACUCUGCAUGUCCUGAUGUAACACCGACAGCUGAAUAUCUGUUCGAGAUUGAGACUGACACAGUAGAUAUGAAAAUGUUGGAACUACUGAGGAACCUUUUGGAGACAUUCAGUUUACCCUUAAUAAAUAUUAACAUCAAUAUCACUGAAAUACACAUCACUACAGGUAACUGACUUUACUCUGUCUACCGAAACUCAUUCAAACCGUGUUACUGUUUUAGACCUUUGUUAUAGGAGUUAUAGCAUUAAAGAUUGUCUUGAUCUAUUGUAAUAGAUAUGUAGUGACAAUAUUUUACAAUAUUUAGCAAAAACAAACAAACAAACAAAAAAACAACAACAACAUUGUCAUGAUUUUCUAUUUCACAGUGUGUAGAUUGAAUGGUACUGAAUAUCAGUGCAGGUGUGAGGAUCAGUAUUUCUGGCCAUGUGAAAAGUGCACAGUAUAUGGGUCUUGUGAUGAACUCAACAAUGCCUCAUGUGGCUGCAUCAAUGCUAUUCCAAAUGAUGGACACUUCUGCCAACCAAUCAGUGAGCUGUCUAGUAUGUAUGAUAUGUAAUCUGAAAAAUAAACAUGUCUGAUGAAUGGACUUUUAAUACUUCAUCACUGUACAUUUGUCAGUUUUAAUUAUUAUAAAAAAAUUUUUUUAACAAUGUGUGUCUUAGCUGUAAUUUUAAAAAGACCUGUUCAAAUGAAAAAUAAAAACUGGCCAAAGGUAAAACUAAGGCACCAGAAUAACAAUUGUUAAAAUCAGUUUGUUUGCUGUUGAAAUAGAACUUUGUAUAGCAUUCAACUUGUCUGAAGCUAUCAUUCUCAAUACACAGUUCUAUAAAGGAGAAUAGGGUAAAUAAACUGUAUUAAUUACAACGUUUAAUCACACUGCUGGUUUUACUUUAUAGACAACUCUACAUGUCCAGCUAUAGCACCCACAGGUAAAACCCACAUAUUACAAUAACUACCAGAAGAUGUGCAAAUUCUCACCUGUGUUCCUUUAUUAUGACUAGAAUACCAUAGUAUAUUUAAGUAAAAUUUAUUUUCCCCUUUCCCUCAGCUGAAUAUCUGACUGAUAUCGAAAUUGACACAGUAGAUAUAACAGUCUUGAAACUCCUGAGGAACCUUUUGGAGACACUCAGCUUACCCUUAAUAAAUAGUAACAUCAAUAUCACUGAAAUACACAUCACUACAGGUAACUGACUUUUCUCUGUCUGCUGAAACUCAGUCAAACCCUGUUACUGUUUUAGACCUGUGUUAUACGAGUUAUAGCAUUAAAGAUUGUCUUUAUCCACUGUAACCAAUAUGUAGUGACAAUAGUUUACAAUAUUUACCCCCAAAAAAACAUUGUCGUGAUUUUCUUUUCCACAGUGUGCAGUUUGAAUGGUACUGAAUAUCAGUGCAGGUGUGAGGAUCAGUAUUUCUGGCCAUGUGAAAAGUGCACAGUAUAUGGGUCUUGUGAUGGACUCACCAAUGCCUCGUGUGCCUGCAUCAACGCUCUUCCAUAUGAUGGACAUUUCUGCCAACCAAUCAGUGAGCUGUCUAGUAUGUAUGAUAUGCAAGAUGAAAAAAAGGAUAUCUGAUGAAUGGCCUUUCAAUACUUCAUCAGUAUACAUCGGUCACUGUUAGUCCUUUUUUGAACAAUGCCUGUCUUAUCCGUAAUUUUUUAAACACCUGUUCAAAUAUAUAAUAAAAACUGACCGAAUGUAAAAUUAAGCCAACAGAAUAAGAAUUGGUACAAAGAGUUAUACAUAUUUAACUUUUUAUACCACUCAACUUGUCUGAAGCUAUCAUACUCAAUACACAAUUAAGUUAGAGUAUCUUAAUAAAUUGCAUUUAUUAGUCCUUUGUAAUCAUGCUGUUAUUUGUACUUUAUAGCUAACUCUGCAUGUCCUGAUGUAACACCGACAGCUGAAUAUCUGUUCGAGAUUGAGACUGACACAGUAGAUAUGAAAAUGUUGGAACUACUGAGGAACCUUUUGGAGACAUUCAGUUUACCCUUAAUAAAUAUUAACAUCAAUAUCACUGAAAUACACAUCACUACAGGUAACUGACUUUACUCUGUCUACCGAAACUCAUUCAAACCGUGUUACUGUUUUAGACCUUUGUUAUAGGAGUUAUAGCAUUAAAGAUUGUCUUGAUCUAUUGUAAUAGAUAUGUAGUGACAAUAUUUUACAAUAUUUAGCAAAAACAAACAAACAAACAAAAAAACAACAACAACAUUGUCAUGAUUUUCUAUUUCACAGUGUGUAGAUUGAAUGGUACUGAAUAUCAGUGCAGGUGUGAGGAUCAGUAUUUCUGGCCAUGUGAAAAGUGCACAGUAUAUGGGUCUUGUGAUGAACUCAACAAUGCCUCAUGUGGCUGCAUCAAUGCUAUUCCAAAUGAUGGACACUUCUGCCAACCAAUCAGUGAGCUGUCUAGUAUGUAUGAUAUGUAAUCUGAAAAAUAAACAUGUCUGAUGAAUGGACUUUUAAUACUUCAUCACUGUACAUUUGUCAGUUUUAAUUAUUAUAAAAAAUUUUUUUUAACAAUGUGUGUCUUAGCUGUAAUUUUAAAAAGACCUGUUCAAAUGAAAAAUAAAAACUGGCCAAAGGUAAAACUAAGGCACCAGAAUAACAAUUGUUAAAAUCAGUUUGUUUGCUGUUGAAAUAGAACUUUGUAUAGCAUUCAACUUGUCUGAAGCUAUCAUUCUCAAUACACAGUUCUAUAAAGGAGAAUAGGGUAAAUAAACUGUAUUAAUUACAACGUUUAAUCACACUGCUGGUUUUACUUUAUAGACAACUCUACAUGUCCAGCUAUAGCACCCACAGCUGAAUAUCUGACUGAUAUCGAAAUUGACACAGUAGAUAUAACAGUCUUGAAACUCCUGAGGAACCUUUUGGAGACACUCAGCUUACCCUUAAUAAAUAGUAACAUCAAUAUCACUGAAAUACACAUCACUACAGGUAACUGACUUUUCUCUGUCUGCUGAAACUCAGUCAAACCCUGUUACUGUUUUAGACCUGUGUUAUACGAGUUAUAGCAUUAAAGAUUGUCUUUAUCCACUGUAACCAAUAUGUAGUGACAAUAGUUUACAAUAUUUACCCCCAAAAAAACA